rnacentral:lncRNA from 1 species
UUUUUAAAAUUUUCUUAUCUAACUUGUCCUCCCACUAGACAUUGAGCUUUCCAUAUAAAGGGCCGUCACUUGUAUCAAAUGCAUCAAGAACAACACAAAACAAUUCCUUGUAACUCCUUGGCAUACUCAUUUCUGCAACCUUAAAAUAUGUCGUCCAAGGCAGAUCUUGCAAGAAUAGGAAAAGAAGGCUUCGCCAUACUUGAUGCAUAUUUUGGAAAAAACACGAGGUCUAAUCAACGAAAACCUUAUUCACAAGAAAAUAGAAGGUCCAGUUCUUAUGCAACAGGCUCGUGUUCAUCAGGUAAAACCAGAAGAGAAUAUUAAUUGCUAUGACGUGUUGCAGUUUAACGAAGGUGUAAUGGUCAAGGAUUAUAGGAGGAAAUCUCAAGCUGUGGCUUAGAUUCUAUGCACUGUGUUUUAUAUGUAACGAAGGCUCUCUUUUAUGCACUGUGUUUUAUAUGUAAUAGGAUGUAUAUAGGCACAAAUAAGUAUGCUUCCUUUGUAUGACACAAAAGUGGAGUCGGUUGUGUAAAUACUAGUGAUCACCUGGAAGUUUUAAGGGUAUGGAUGAAGUCUGUAACACUUUGUUAUAUGUAUUGAAGUGAUAUAAGAUGUAGUAAUAUUACCUUUUCUAUUAUUAUUAGUCUAAAAUUUAUGGAUUUGAAAAGUUCUCUAAAAGGAACCUCACAAGAACAUAGGCCACUUCGUUCAGAUUUUUCUUAGCUACUUUCCUCCCACUAUACAUUCAGAUAUAUAAAGGGAUUUGACUUUGUAUGAAAUGCAUCGUGAAAAACACAAAAAAUUUCCUAAACUUCUUCAUACUUUAUUUGUACCUUAAGAAAUGUCAUCAAAGGCAGAUCUUGCAAGAAUAGGAAACAAGGCCUUCGACGAAGCAUAUCCCAGAAAAAGGAUGGCGCCUAAUUCACAAGAACCUAAGCUGGCAUGUCUUUACCACUACCAAUCACAAUAGGUUUGUAUUUAUCGGUAAAAUCAAUGAGAUUAUGAACCGCUACAAGGUGACGCAAUUUCACAAAGGGUGAUGUUUAAGGAUUAUACGAGGAAAUCUCAAGCUAUGGGUAUUAGACUCUCUUAAAGCUUGCCUCGAACAUGCGAAGCCUCAAAAAGUUAAUAUAGAAUGGUUUGCAAAUAAUUCUCAAAUUUCUUGGGUAGUGUCAACUCUGUAGAACGUUUAAUCUCCAAAAAGACAAGAUUAAAUUGUAAAAUUCAAUCCAAUUAACCUCCAAUUAAUCCAUGUAAAAUAUGGAGCACUUGCAUUUUUGACCAAAUCGAUUAUUGAGGUGGGAUAAAUGUAAUGCAGGCCAAGUUCUAUUUUGUUUUGACAGCAUGUGUUCAUGUCUACUUAGGAUAAUAAAACCGUAUAGGCCUUCAAUAAGUUAAUGUAAAAUUCUUGUUCGUAUUGAAAACAAAAAUUGGUUAAAUGAAGAUGUAAUUUAUCGAAUGAACAUGAUGAAAUUUUGUAUUUUAAUCAAACAGGUGCCUGCCAACUUUUGUCCCUGCAAAGUCGAUCUAAGCUCAAAAUCUUAUUCGAUAUAUGCCCGAGUAUGUAGGCUGCAAAUUAGAACUAGGGACAGCCCAAAUGGAACAUGCCAAAAUUCAGGCCUAAUCGAGGCCUUAAAGGGGUUUAGGAACAGCCCAAUUAGAGUGCGUAGAUGUAGAAGUGGGAAUAAAUGGGAAAAUUAUCUAGAAACCUACAUUUAAAGACUAUUUUUCAAAAAUAAGGAUGAUUAAUUUUCAUUUCACAAAUCAGGUGUUAAUUAGAUUUAAUAAUUAUAAUUAAUGAAAAUUUAAUUAAACCAACGUACCACCGCCCCGUCCACCCAUUUUCUUCCCAAAUCCAAGCCCCAAGUAUUUUCAUUUUCCCACCUCUCUCUCUCUCUCUACAACCACCCACCCAACCAUCUUUCUUUUCGGCACAGUGAAGCCCAUUCCAUCCCCAUUUCAUUCCCAAAUUCAAGCCUCAGAUAUUUUCAUUUUCCCACAUCUUUCUUCGCUCUAUCCUCUCUCUCUUUUUCUACUACCACCCCCCAACCAUCUCCCUUUUCGGCGCAGUGAAGAAGAAUCUUGAAAAUCUUUAUUGAGAAAUAUUCAGUAAUCAAUGGGUUAGUGUUUUUUGAAGGUGUUGGUGGAAGUUAUGGUAGUGAUGAUUAUUGUUGUGAAUUUGAGUUAAAGAUGUUAGUAGUGGUGGUGGUUACUAUUUUUUCGAACAGAUCUAUUGUGGUGGGUGGAGAUUUGAUUUUUUCUGUUCGAGAUCUGGUUGUGACUAUUUGUGACAUAUUUUGUGUUGAUUGUGACCGAUUGUAACUUGGGAUUGAUCUAUUCACAGACAGUCACAUUGAAUACAAACUUGGUCACAAACCUCGUAUCAAUUUACCCUAAAUCUUGUAUCAAUUUUUAACCCACACAUUCUAUUUCUUUCCCCAAAAAUUAGUUCGGCACUCUCUUACCUAAAAAUCAGAUCUACGACUUCUUUCCCACCCACUCUCUAGAUUCCGACCACCUACCACUUUUCUCAUCGGAGUUUCAUGAGAGAAGUGUAGUGGUGUUGGUUGGUGUUUUUUGAAGGGUUGAUGGAAGUUAUGGUAGUGAUGAUUGUUGUGGAUUUAAGGUAAAUGUAGUAUUUAUGGUCAUCAAUUUGAGUUAAAGAUGUUAGUAGUACUUGUGGUUAUUAUUUUUUCAAAUAGAUUUGCUAUGGUGGUCGGAGAUCUGAUUUUUCUAUCCAAGAUCUGGUUGUGACUGUUUGUGAUCAAUUUUGUAUUGAUUGUGACUGAUUGUGACUUGAGAUUGAUCUGGCCACAGACAGUCAUAUUCAAUACAAAUUUGGUCACAAUUAGUCACACCAAAGGCAAAAUUGGUCGCGGUGAUUCUUAGAUAACAUAAGUCAACGAAUUGGUCACAUAUAACACAGGUAUGGUCACAAUAACACGGUUGCAAAUCUGAUAAGUACAAUGCACUACUACGACCAUCACAAUUUUUGGAGAUUUUUCUAUCAUCGGAGCCAGAAUAAUUGGUGGAAUAGUUGCCGGAGCCGAUGGCUAUCUCCGGUCUCCGGCGGAGAGAUGAAGGGAAGGUAGUGUAGUGGGGUGAUAGGAUGGGGUGAGUACGGUGGCAUGAAGUGAAAUAAUUAAUGUAUAUUAUAUUAUAGUUUAAUAUUUAAUAAAUAUAUUUACCAUCUGAUUUUUGAAAUAUUUCAAUGAGUUUGUUAUUUAUGAAAUGUGUUUUUAUAAUGUUGUAGUUAUGUAGUCUUCCCGGAAUAAAUUACAGUGGCCCAAUAAUAAUAAUCCAUAUAAGUAUCAAAAGAUCCCAAGGAAAUUAAAUGCUGGCCCCAAUUAUCCAAAGCUCAUAAGAAUGACCGUAGACACAAAUGGAAAUUACACCCCUUACCUAGUAUUACGUAAAAUUUCAAGAAUUACUUUGUAAUUAAUUUUAUCAUAGAAUUACUGUAGAAAAUAUAGUAAAAUAAAAAAUGAAGAAAUCGCCUCACCCAUACUUGAAAUCGAAACCCAGCUAGAUUGGUUCCCCCAAACACAUCCCUUACCAUAAUAAUAUCAUUCAUACUAGAUAAUUAAUUAUGAGCUGAAUUUUUUCGGCCAAACAUGCCCCUUACUAUAAUUUUACAUUCAAAAUUCCCUAGUUCACAUCGAUUCAUAUUCAUUCCUAUUAUUCUCCAUCUAGAAUCUUCUCAAGAAAUCGAAAUCAUCAACACAAAAUGAAACAAUUUUUAUAGAAGUUGAUAACAAAGCAUGGAUGAGAAAUCCUUGGAAUUAUUCAAGUGUAGAACAGUUGAUCUUUUGUUAAGGAGUUGGAUUUUCUCCGCAUCCUUUUUUUAGGUAUAACUUUAGCAACGAUCCCAAAUUUUUUGAUUUUUCCUAAACCUUACUUUAACCUACACUUUGUAUCACUCAUAGUUCCAAACCUUUCAAAAAUUAGCAUUUGGAGUCCAAAUAGAUUAUUUCUGUUAGUUUGACCGUUAGUUGACCAAUAAAUUUGAUUUUAACCAAUUUUAAAAUGGACAAAAUGAUAACUUUGAAUUAAAAAUAAAAAAACAAAAAAUCAAAACCUAGUCACUAUUUUUUAUCUUCUUCUUCUCACACCCACAUCCCACCUCCUCAUUAGCUCUUUGGCUGCGAAAUUGCUCACAAUCAGAGGAGUGCUUUUUUCUCAAAUCUCUAGCUGCAAAUUCUCUCAAAUCUUCGCCAGCUCUCUCGGAGAUCCAGUGCUCGAUCAUACUCCUUUGCCUACCAACAUGACUAUUCACACUACGCAGCCAUGGGUUCCUUCCCUCCUCAAUUUUCAGCUCCCACGGUUCUAUAUACUGUAAAAUCCUAGUAACAAUUCAGUCUACAAGCUCAUAGAAAAUAGAAAUAAUUAAUGAUUAUUACAUAUCUUCAUAUUUGGAGAGAAUUUGGCAAUUUGCCCCACCUAUCUUCUACCUCUAAUAAUAAUAGUGCCCUAAAUCAUUAGCAAUAGUAGCACAAGGCCUCUUUGCAGCUGGCAUACCAUGACGGUGGAGGUAGAGGAGGUGGCGGUGGCAGGAAGGGAUAAAAUGGUCCAACUAGUUCUGGGUUUAGGAGAAGGUGGGGUGACGAUGGUGGUGGGUAUGGGAGAAAGAAGGUAAAUAGUGACUAGGUUUUGAUUUUUUGAUUUUUUUUGUUUAAUAUUUUUCAUUUUUAAUUCGAAGUUAUUAGUCAAAGUCAAAUUUAUUAGGUCUAUAGACUGUUAAACUUACAGAAAUCAUUCAUUUGUACCCCAAUGCUAAUUUUUGAAAGGUUUGGGAACGUGGGUAUUACAAAGUGAAAGUUAAGGUAAAGUUUGUGAAAAAUCGAAAGAUUUGGAACCGUCGCUGCAAUGAUCCUUUUCUUAUUCACAUGUUGCAUGUGAUAUGGUCGAAUGUGGAUUUAUAAUCAAUAUGUUUAUUUCACAGUCACUAUAAACCCUUUUUUUCCCACCCUUUGCAACUUUAAUUGUAGAUUGUAUGUGAUAAAGUAUGUAGAGAAUACUCACAGAGAUUCGAUCUAGGCAUUUCAAGAUUUAACUUGGUUUGCCAACUAUUUAAACAUGGUUGUGAGAAGAUUAUUGAAGCCUAUGAUAUAAAUUUCGACCUUGUGUCACGUAAGGUUAGGCGUGACAGAAAGAUGAAGGGGUGGUUAUUGAAUACUAUAGAAUGACAAGUCACGUAUUCUUUUGUCUAUUUAUAUUGAAUAACAAUGGCAGAUUCUAUUCUUUUGAGCAGUAUAGUUAAUUUCAACUUUUGAAAUGUUUCACAUUACUGCUAUAGUGGCUUUUAACAUAUGAAAAUGUCAGUAUUAUACUCUUUGUUGUUUCUUCAUUCAUACUCCAUGAUUUUAAAAUUGUGUUUUCUAUUCAUAAUUUUGAAAUUGUAAACUUCUAUUGGAAAUGUAUAUGAAUCUGAUAUACGUAACAGUUGGAAUUUAGUUUGAAAAUUACAAGACCAUAUCCCCAAAAUUCAAACCAUAUAUUAUAUUGCCAUAUUGUACAUUUAAACAUUUCGAACGUUGCUAUCUAUCCAUGUUACUUAGUUUUUAUGUUGAUAAGAAAAUUGAGCAAUUGCCCAGAAAGCAAGCAUUGGCUGAGAACUCUAAGAUUGAGAACACUAGUAUAUCGUGGAGUUUGUGUGAGUAGUCAAACAGGAAUACGCCACAAGGUAUAUCUAGCAUUUCCAAUUUGGGUAAAUCAUGUAUCCAUGAGGUAGAAAAUAAUAAUGACGAAGAGGCAUCAUCCAAUGAUGUGCUUGCCUAAUCUCAGUUGGCUGAAAGUGAGCAAGCAACAUAUGCAAGUACAAAAAAUGAUCUUAAAAAGAACAAAAUAUCACACAUUUAGUAAAUUGAUUCGUGAACAAAAAUUUACACAUUUCGAAUUGAAUGUAUAUGUAGUUGAAGCAACUUCUUGAAACGUGAAUUACAAUUCAUUUUAAGGUCUGAAAACAUUACAUGUACAAAAAGGAAAAAAAUGAAGGAAUGAUUACCUUUCUAAAGUAGCGACAGCUUCUUGAUGGAUAGAUAUAAUAGAAAAUAAUGAGAACAAUGACUAUCUCCACAUACACACUGGGAUACGGUUUGCCCACUUCUGAUUUUUUGAAUUCUGUACUCAUUAAUUUGGAAAUGAUAUUGAAUGAUCCUUAAUCCUAGGGUCAUUUAAAAAAUUUCAAUUAGAAAGACUGUUUUGAUAUAUAUUUGGCAUAUAGUAUUUCUUAAAAUAUUUUCUGUAUCACAAAGUAUUACUUAAAUUAUAAAUGUCACAUAGUAAAUCUUCAAAUUUUAUUUUGUAAUGAUGUAGAUAGAAAAUUUUCCAUAGACAAAUUAUUUUGAAGAAGAAAUAGAUUCCCAUGGCCCAAAAGAUAAAAUGAAAGAUUUAAUAGGCUCGAAUUCUUUUGAGAGGUUAUGAGGCCUAAGUUGUGAACCAUUUUCCAUAAGAAUUUAGCCCAAACCGCCACAACCUUGGAUGAAAUUGAAAAUAAUUUUCAACCUAGUCGUAAAAGUCUACUCCAUUUGGCAAUCAUAAGUCUACAAGGAACGCAGAAAAUAAUCUCACUUCUUGGUGUUAAAUGUUGAGCCAAUUAAUGGACCAAAACAAGACCCACACAUCACGGACUGCUUUGAUGGUCUUUGCCGGAGGUUUGGUUGCACGUGUUUACCUUGACCUUCGUUGCCAGAGACUCUGGCUUUUUCCAAAAUCCUUGCUAUAUUUUAAUUUUAAUUUUGUUUUUUUUUUUUUUUUGGAUUGAUAAAUGCAGUAAAACAUACAAGCAAGAGGCUGGAGCAAAUUGAGUGCAUAAUUUCAACUAUGAAUAUGUUUGUCUUGUGAAUGUUUUCUUUAUUCCACCGGAGAAAAUUUUUCUCAUCCCAACAUUCUUCAACUGACUUAUCUAACUUCUAAUAAAAAGGGAAAUGAAAGUCUAUUAUUCAUGCAAUUGUAAAUGAAUCCAAUUUUACUAUGCAUGAUGUCAUUUUUUAUUUUCCAUUUUGUUUAUGUCAAACAAAUGUUCUUCCACACAUCAUCUCACUAGCAUUAAAAAAAUAAUUAUGUCAUUUUUUAUUUUUCAUUUUGUUUAUGUCAAACAAAUGUUCUUCCACACAUCAUCCCACUAGCAUUAAAAAAAUAAUUAUAUCAAACAAAUAUUUUUCCACACAUCAUACCACUAUCAUUAAAAAAAUAAUAAUAAUUUUAGUAAAUAUAAACUGCCAUGAGGAAAAAAAACUCUUCGCACAUGAGUUUUAAAAAAAAUAAAAAUAAAUUUUCCAUAUAGUGUGGAGAGAUGGAAAACCAUGUGCGAAAUAGAAAAGGAAGAAAAAACUCUCCGCAUAGUACGAAGAGAUAGUAAACCAUGUGCGAAGACUUGUCAAACUCUCCGUACAGUGCGAAGUAAAAAAAAAUCUCUCCGUAUAGUGCGAAAAGAUGGCAGCACAGAGUGGAGAGAUGGUAAAACUCUCCGCACAAUGCGGAGAGAUAGAAUUCUGUGCGGAUAAUGUCAUAACGUGCGAAUUCUCUGUACAGUGCGAAGUAAAAAAAAUAACUUCGCACAGUGCGGAGAGUUGGCAAACUCUCCGUACAGUGCGAAAUUAAAAAAAAAUCUCUCCGCACAGUGACUGUCAUGUGCGUUGCACAAAUUUUGCAUUUAUUGUAUUUUUAUUAGUGUAUGAAUUUUAAUUUUUUGAAAAGUUUUUGAAGCAAUAUCUAGAAAUAUUUUCAUGAUAUAAGAAAAUAAUUGUAAAUUAUUUUUACAAUUGCAUAAUAGUAUUGUGUUAUUUAGAAAAAAAUAUACUUGUAUAUUUCAUAUUUGAAUAAGAAAUAUAUGAGAUUAUACAAAUUAUUUUGCUUGUAUUAUUUGAUAGUGUUAAUAUAAUUGAGUUGACUCUGAAUAUUAUAUUUAUAAAUUUUGUGUAAUACAAUAUUAGAAAAUUGAAGAUUGAGCUUCAUAUUCAUAUGUAUUUAUAUUUUAUGCUUCAUAUAUAUUUAAUAUUUAUUUUAUGCUUAUAUUGAAAAAAUUAAAAAAAAUCUGAAAUUUUUUUGAAAUUCGGUUUGGUAAGUGAAUGUACGGUGUUCUGCAGUCUCGGUAAUUUUAAGUGCAAAAAUCGGUAUAUAAAAAUACAGUAAACUGCAAAUACGAUAGGCAGCGUAUACGGCAAGUUGCAAAUACGGUAGGCAAUAUAUAUGGUAAGCUGCAAGUACGGUAAGGUGAAAAUACGGUAAAUUGCAAAUACAAUAGACAGCAUAUACGGUAAGGUGUAAAUACGGUAAGCUGUAUAUAUGGUAAGCUACCUGCAAAUACGGUAAGCUGCAUGUAUGGAUUUAAAAUUUGUUAUAAAUGUAUAAAUUUUAUUUAAUAUUGAAUUUUUUAAAUAUUAAAUGUUGUAAUAUAAUAUUGUUUCCUUUUUUAUAAUUGUAUUUUCGAGAAUAAAAAAAAAAAGUGGUUAUGAAAUUACUAAUUUUUAAAUGUGUUUUUUUGUUGAAAAUAAAAAUGAUUUUUUAUGUUAUUUGUAAAAAAAAAAAUUAUUAUAAUUUUAUUAGCUUAAUAAGAAGAUUUAUUAUGCAUUUUUAUUUUUUUCAUUUUGUGAAGAAUUUUAUUUGUGGUGAUUGACAAAUAUUCUUCCACACACGUAUCAUGCCAACAACAUUAAAAAAAAAAUAAUAAUAAUUUUAGAUAUAUAAACUCCAUGAGACAAAAAAAUCUCCGCCCAUGAGUAAAAAAAAAAAAACUCUAUAAAGUGCGGAGAGAUGACAAACUAUCUCUUUACACAGUGUGAAGAGAAAAACAAAAACUCUCGGAACUUUAUCUGCAAGUUCCAAGAGGCCUUUUCUUAAACAACUUUUGAGCAAUGCAUUGAACACAUUAAUUCCUAGCCCACAAACCGAAAGUAUAAUUUCAUUGAAAAUUGUAUCCACUUCUAAUGUCCAAGAGCUGUUAUCAAGCAAGUGUAAAAUAUUGAAUUUGGGUGGUAUCCUAUAGCCUCCAUUUGUGAAAGUAAUAUCAUGGUACUAUCAAUGUCACAUUCUUUGCACAGCUCACAUAUUGUUUCAUUAUAUGAAUCACAAGAAAGCUUCUUUCCAAUACUAUAAAUAUGAUUUGCAUACUCAGAAAUUAAACUAUGACUGAAAUUUAAAGAAGACAUAAUUGAUUUUGAGUCAUAUUUUUCGACUCUAUUUCGUUGUAUAUACGAAAAAUUUGUAAUCUUGAAAUUUGACUUGUAAUUAAGGAAUUUGAAAACAAUUCUCCACACUGUACGGAGAGUUUUUUCUCUUUGUACUGUGCGGAGAGCUGGUUUGUCAUCUCUCCGCACUGUGCAGAGAGUUUUUUUACUCCGCACUAUGCGGAGAGAUUUUUUUCCUCUCUGCACUGUGCGGAGAGUUUUGCCAUGGUGCGAACCAACUCUUCGCACUGCACGAAGAGAUUAACUCUUUCCGCACAUUGCGGCGAGUUUUUUUUGCUCUACGUACUGUGCAGAGAGUUGGUCUGUCAUCUCUCCGCACUGUGCGGAGAGAUUUUUUUUUACUCCACAUUGUGUGAAGAGUUUGCCAACUCUCCGCACAACUCUUUGCACAUGGUUCAACUCUCUCCGCACUGUUCGGAGAUGUUUUUUCUCUCUGCACUUUUUUUUAUUUUUUAUUUUUACUCCGCUCUUGGUUCAACUCUCUCCGCAUUGUGCGGAGAGUCUUUUUUUUUCAAUUUUAUAAUAUUGAAUUACACAAAAUUUAGAAAUAUAAUCUUCACAUUUAAUUCAACUAUAUCAACAUUAUCAAAGAAUACAAGCAAAAUAAUUUGUAUAUUUUUUAUUCAAGCAUGAAAUAUACAAGCAUAUUUUUUCUAGAGAACAUACUGCUAUGCAAUUGUAAAAAUAAUUUACAAUUAUUUUUUUAAAUCAUGGAAAUAUUUUUAGAUAUCGCUUCAAAAAAUUUCAAAAAAAAAAAACUAAAAUUCGUACACUAAUAAAAUAUGAUAAAUACAAAAUUCGCGUAACGUAUGUGAUAGCGAUUAGUUUUAUAAUGGUUUGAUCAUGGUCAUUCUCCAAAAUGAUUAAAAGGUAAUGAGCCCAUGAACUUAAGCUUAAAAAAAUCGAUGGCCAAUGAAUGAAUUUGCUGUUUCAAAAUGAAAUCAUGAAUGUUGGAGAGACAAUUAACAAAAAGGAUGCUGAUUUCUCCCUUUUGCAGGUCGCAAAGUGUAUACUUUGGGCAGGCUUGUUUGAUUUUUUUUUUUCCUUUUUCUUCCUCUUGUUCACUUUUUGUGCCCUCUAACACCUUUCUCAAAUCUUUUACCGAUUACCAUUUUCACAGCAGGUCUCUUCAAGUUUUUACCAUAAAAAUUCCUUUUACCUCAGCAAGUUUUAGGUUCAUUUUCUUCACUUUCAAGAAUAUUUGGUCGACUUUUUCUCACGUGAUUCCUUCGUGGUUAAAUAUACUGAUUUUCCACAGAUGGCGUCAAUCUGUUAACCUCUGAAAAUGGACAAUAAGUGUCGUUUAAAAAUCACGAACACGUGGAUAGAUUCCUCACAUGGACUCACCUCUUCAUUGUAAAUAAAUCACACACACACACACAGUAUAUAUAUNNNNNNUAUAGGCCGGACCAAGUUUCAAGCCCAAUGAGAGGGCCCAAUAUUAGAUAAUUAUAUAGGGAUAAAAAAAAAAUAGAAAGGAACGAACUUCCUUUAGAUAGUCUCCCAAGCAGCGCCUUUGUUUAUUUUCUUUGGCUAGACUUGUUGCUUCCUUAUUUAGCUAGUAUAAAUUGGAUGUUUAAGGUCCACUGUUGUCACGCCCUCUACUUAGAAGCCUUCAUAGAAAGGUUUGAGUUUAUGGCCAUUCACCUUGAAAACUUUUGAAGUUACCAAACUUUGAAUUUCAACUGCACCAUGAGGAAAAGCAUUAGAACAAAAAAUGGUCCAAUCCAACGAUAAAGCAACCUACCUGAAAAUUAAUGAAGCCUGGAAUGGUAUAGAAGGACUUUUUGACUAACUUUAAACUCCUUGCUAAAGAUCAUCUUGUCAUGGAAAGCCUUCGUCUUUUCCUUGUAAAUCUUUGGACUCUUAUAGGUGUCAUUAUGAAUUUCCUCUAAUUCUUGAAGUUGCGACUUUCUAUGUUUUCCACUCUCAUCCAUCCUUCGUCAUAUUGAAACAAGCCCAUUAAGCUUUGUGUUCUAACUCCACUGGAAGGUGGCACGGUUUCCCAACCACUAACUGGUAAGGUGACAUGCCAAUGGGUGUCUUAUAUGUAUGCCCACAAAGCAUCAUCUAAGUGUAGAUUCCAAUCUUUUCUAAUUGGGUUGAUCGUCUUUUCAAUAAUGGAUUUGAUUUCUCGAUUUGAUACCUCUGCUUGUCCACUAGUUUGUCGGUGAUAGGAAGUCGAUACCUUGUAGGUUACAUUGUACUUUCUCAGCAAGGAUUCCACAGUUCGACUAAAAAAAUGAGUGGCUGGAUCACUUAUGAGAGCCCUUGAAAUCCCAAACUUGGAGAAUAUGUUAGAUUUGAUAAAAUCUGCAACAACUUAGAACCAUCAGUCCUGGUGACCAUAGCUUCCACCCGUUUUGAGACAUAAUCAACAUUAAGAAAAGUGAAAACAUAACCGAAAGAUACAGGAAACUGUCCCAUGAAAUCAAUGCCCCAAAUAUAAAAAAUUUCGCAAACUAAUAUAGAUGAUUGUGGCAUUUCAUUUUGUUGGGAUAUAUUACCAGUCAUUUGACAAUGUUCGCAUGACUUAUAGAAAGAAUAUGCAUUUUGAAAUAAAGAUGGCCAAUAGAAACCACAUUCUGACACUUUUCUCGCUGUCCUCUUUGAUCUAAAGUGACCUCCACAAGCAUAAUAGUGACAAAAGGUGAUAAUAGACAUAGCUUCAUUUUUAAUAAUGCACAUUCUUAUCACUGGAUACGUACCAUGAUUUCAUAAGUGGGGUCAUUCCAAUAGUAUUUUGCCUCACUCUUGACCUUAUCUUUUUGGGCCGUGGACAAACAAUGAGAGGUCAUCUUAGUAACCAAAUAAUUUACAAUGUUUGCAUACCAAGGUGAUGUCAUGCCUGUAGAGAAUAAUUGCUCGUCAGAGAAUAUUUCAUACAAUUAGCGUUCAUCAUCUACGCGAGCUAAACGACUCAAAUGAUGCAACACUUUUUCUGUUUCUCUUUUGCCUUUAAUCUCCAAAUUGAAUUCACUCAAAAGAAGUAUCCAUCAUAUUAAUUUUGGUUUUGCCUCCUUCUUUGUCAUUAGAUAACGCAGAGCUGCAUGAUCAAAAUAAAUAAUUACUUUAGUACCGAGUAAAUAAGGAUGAAAUUUAUCUAAAGUAAAAACAACAGCUAAAAGUUCUGUGUAAUAAUUUCUCUGGGCAUCAUUUAAAGUUCUGGAAGCAUAAUAGAUGGCAUGGGAUGUGUUUCCAAUUCUUUGACUCAAAACUGCGCCUACUGCAAAGUUUUUUGUGUCGCAUAUUAUCUCAAAGGCAAAGUUCCAGUUACGAGGUUGAAUAAUUAGGGCAGAAUUCAAUAGUUCCUUCAGUUUAUCAAAUGCCUUCUUACAAUCCUUAUAAAAAUCAAAAGCCACAUCCUUUUUGUAACAAUUCGCAUAAAGGCAAUGCUAUUUUGGAGAAGUCCUUGAUGAAUUUGUAGUAGAAACCUGCAUGUCCAAAAAAAGAACGAACUUUCUGCGCACUAGAGGAGUAAGGUAAAGAUUGAAUAAUAUUAAUUGUUAUUUUAUUUACCUCAAUUCCCUUAGAUGAAACAACAUGUCCUAAAACUAUGCCUUAUUCAACCAUAAAAUGUCAUUUUUUUUUGAAUUCAAGACAGGGUUAGUCUCUAUGCAUCUUUUAAGGACAAGUGUAAGGUUAUGCAAACAGCUAUCAAGGGAGUUUCCAUAGACUAUAAAAUCGUCCAUAAAGAUCUCUAUGAUAUGCUCAAUGUAAUCAUAAAAUAUAUUAACCAUACACCUUUAAAAAAUGGCUGGAGCAUUGCAAACACCAAAUGACAUGCGACAUUAUGCAAAAGUUCCAAAUAGGCAUGUAAAAGUUGUCUUUUCUUGAUCCUCCAAGGCAAUUGCAAUAUGAAAAUAACCUGAAUAACCAUUAAGAAAGCAAUGGUAAGAAUGACCAGCUAACAUUUUAACUAUUUGAUCAAUAAAAGGUAAAGGAAGUGGUCUUGCAGGUUAUAACAUUCAAUUUUCUAUAAUCUAUACAAACCCACCACUCAUUUUGAACACGGGUGGUAACUAACUCAUCAUUAUAUUUUUUACAAUGGUUAUCCUAGUCUUUUUAGGAACUACUUGAACUGGGCUAACCCAACUGCUAUCAAAGUAGGAUAAAUCACUCCAACUUCGACAAGCUUGAGGAUUUUCUUCUCCACUACAUCCAUCAUGGGCGGGUUCAAUCUCCUUUGUGGUUGACGGGAAGGUCUUACUUCUUCAUCAAGUAAAAUGCAAUGCAUGCAUGUGGAUGGGCUAAUUCCCUUAAUAUCUGCAAUUGUCCAACCAAUAGCUAUUUGAUGUUUCUUAAGAACUUGCACCAAUUUGUCUUCUUGUGAUGCACUCAGUUCAUUUGAAAUGAUCAUCGAUAAUGUUUCUCCAUCUCCAAGGAAUAUAAACUUAAGAUGGUCGAGGAGAGGUGUCAUGUCCAGAGUGGGAGCUUGCAAGACAAAAGGUAAUGACUUCUCGUUAAAAACUGGUAAUGCAAUAUAUAAAACAUUACCUGUUUGUUGUAACCUUGAAAGAUCAUUCAAUGUUGCAAUUGUUUCUUGCAAGUCAGCGCUCAAGGCUAGCUCCUCACUCUUUUUCUUCGGAUGCUCACUAAUGGCAACUUGCAAUGUAUCUUUUCCAUCAAAUUCAAAAACUUCUUGUGCUAGAUAGUCAAUUACAUCAAUAGAGUAGACAUCAUUAUCAUCACUAAGAAAUUUUAUGGCGUCAUAGAUAUUAAAUUUGAUUAUUUCACCAUCAAAUUCCAUUGUAAGUGUGUCUUAUGUACAUCUAUUUUUAUUUUGGAUGUUUUUAAGAACGAUUUUCCUGACAAAAUAGGUAUAGUUUGAUCACCAGUUUCUAUAUCAAGUACAUAAAAAUCAGUCGGGAAAACUAAUCUAAUCGAAUCAUGAUACCAAUUUUAUUUAAAGGUUUAAGUUUUAAAGAAGUAUAAAUAGAAUAUGGCAUGACGUUUAUAGAAGCCCUUAAGUCUAACAUGGCCUUCUCAAAUUUUGUGUCUCCUAUCACGCAAAGGAUAGUAAACAUACCUGGAUCUUUGCACUUUGCAGAGAGUUUUCGUUGAAUAACUGCAGAGAUAUUUUCCCCAACUCUCACCUUUUCACACCCCUUGAAUUUCUGUUUUCUCUUAAUGGUGUACAAUUCUUUCAAAAACUUAGCAUUAUGAGGUACUUGUUUAAUAGCAUGUAAAAGUGGAAUAUUAAACUCGCAUCUACGAAAAGUUUCAUAUAGAUCUUUAUUUUGUUUACCUUCCCAAGAUUCUACUAAGGCUUGAGGAAAAUGGGGUACGGGUUUAUAACCAGAAAGAGAUGGAAACUUACAUUUAGGUGCAUCAUCGUCGUGGAGAACACAUUGUCUGUAGUGACAUCUUCUCCUUUCCUUGCUUUGACAUUGUGGGGACUGUCUUCAUCGGGAUUUCAACCUCUUUGCCAUUCCUUAAUACAAUUGCACCUAUAUAUUUUUCCUUGGGGUUUACCCCAGAUUGAGAAGGUAAUUUUUUUCAAACUUUGUGAUUCUAGCUAAUUAAUUACAGUUGCCAUUUGACUCAUUUGAUUUUCCAAGCUUUGAAUAAUUGCCUUUGUCUCCUGUUGAAAUUACAAAGUGUUAGUGGCAAAGGAUAUAACAAUAUCCUCUAAAGACAUACCAGAAUUAGAAGUUUGGCCUUGUUGUUGUCCAGAAGAAUAUGACUACUUAUUUUGCUGAAAUUUUGGGCAAUUUUGCUACAUAGGUUGAUUUACUUGUUGAUUCCCGUAGCUAAGAUGAGGAUGAUCUCUCCAUCCUGGGUUAUUGUGUUCGAAUAGGGAUCAUAAUUCCUUUGCAGUUGUCUAAGAAAACCACUUGCUGCAUUUACUUCUUCAAUGGGAUCUUCUAGAAAUGGUGGGCACAUAUCCAUUGAAUGUCCUACCACCGAACACAUCCCACAAGCUUUUGUUAUCUGCAUAAUACCUAUAGCCAUUUGAAGAGCAAGAGAAGUUAGACUUUCAAAUUAUUGUUCAAUGGAUGAAAUUUUUACCUCAUUAACAUGUUUAGAUGAGGUGUCGAGUCUAGUGUCAAAUUGCUGAGAGGUGGCUGCCAUACUUGCAAUUAAGUUCUUCACUCUUACGGAAGUUUUAUCCAUCAAAGCUUCUCCACUAGCAGUAUCGAUCAUACUCCUAUCAGUUGGUAGAAGACCUUCAUAGAAAUACUGGAUGUGAAGCUGCUCACUAAUUUGAUGAUGGUGACAACUUGCACAUAGUCUCUUGAAAUGCUCACAGUAUUUGUGUAGGGAUUCUUUAUUGUCUUGUCUUACACCACAUAUUUCUUUUCGAAUGUUGGCUGUGCUUGAAGAUGGAAAGCAUUCCUCUAAAAACAACCUUUUCAUCUCUUUCCAUGUCGUAAUACUCCCCGAUGGUAGAUAAUAGAGCCAGUCCUUAGCUGAAUCUUUCGAAGAAAAUGGGGAGGCCCUCAAUUUAGUUUGUUCUUCAGCUACGUCCCCAGGUUUCAUACUCAUGCAAACCGUGAUAAGUGCUUUUUACAAACUUAUUAUGUCCACAAAAUAUGAUGAAUUGUUGAUAAAAGUGUGUGAAUACGGCUUAAUUCUAUGUCAUUGUGUUUUAUAUAACUAUAUUUAUAAAUAUGGUAGAAUUCAAGAGAAAGGAAACGAAAAAGGACCAACUAGAAGAAAAUGAAAGUUUAAGAACCAAAAUGUAAAUAGUCAAAAGAUGACCCGAAGGAAGAAACGAGAAUACAAAUGAGCUAAAUACUAAUAUAUUGAAGACAUGGGGUUUGGAAGACAAAAAAAUGGAAAAAGAUAUCAAGAACUAAGAAAAUGGAAUUCGGGGAUCAAAAUGAAGAAUUUGGAAAUGUGAAGACUUCGUGCAAUCCCAUGGUGUUUUCCUCCAUGCAAUUGCAAGGGAGGCUGCAGAGAAUUUAGAGGCGGAAUUGGGAGAACCAUGUGGUCGCGUGGUGUUAAUUUGGCGCGGGAUUUUCAGUUUUCUUCUGCGAUUCAACUUUUUAUGGAAACAAAUCUUGGAACUUAUAUAAAAAUCCCUAGAGCCGUCAAUUUUAGGGGAAAACACAUGGGAAGACAUUCUGACAUAUUUUGAAGGAGAUUUUGAGCAAAAACGCAAAGAGAAACACAAACCAUCGAUAGGAUUACACGAAGAUUCAAUUAGAACAUUAAACUGAUGAUGUCGUUUCUUAGGAUUUCUUUGUAUUUUCUUAUUUUUCCCUAGGCUAGAUAUUUUUUUAAUAGGCGAACGAUGAACCAUGUGAUGUAAUCUUUUGAUUUCUAGUUUUACAUUCUUGACGAUAAAACGCGUUCUUUGAAUUUGAAUGAUUUAUAUGCACUUAUUUUCUCCACAGUUAUUGUGCACAUGAUUUUGUGAAUCUUGUGGAGUAUUUCAUGCAUUCGAGAGAAGGGAAAUAGGCUUGAUAGGGUACGAAUCAUCGUAGGGUUCGAUAGGGGAUAGAGAUAUAGUACUAUGCCCUACGUGAAUCUCUAUGUGUUCACAAAAAUCCAUGCAUUCUUGUAUUCUUGUAUCCGUCAUAGAGAUAUAAAUGGAUUGUAUAUGAGAGUAGGUUCAACAAUACUUAGAGAGAGAUUGUUGAAUAAAAUAGAAACAAUGAUUCUUCAACUUCAAACAUGUUGUCAAUUUGUAGAACUAGGGUUAAAAGGGAUCAUUGCAUGGGGAUUCGCGAUCUUAGUGUCUCUCUUAUCCAUUAGAUUCAUCAAACUUGUGUUCAAAUGUAAAUUACAUUUUAGUUUCGUUUAAAUAAUUCAUAAUUGCAUACAUAGGUUAGUUUAAUUAUAUUCACACCAUAGCUAUACUUCUAAUAAAUUGGUUUCGGUUAAGGUCGAGAUAAGUAAAAAUUGAACUAAUUUAAUCUCUGUGGGACGAUAUUUAAAACUCAACAUUCCACUUUAUUACUUUUCACGAACUGUACACUUGCGGUGUUUAAAUCGAAAUAAUAUUUUCCUAACCAUACCAUAUGAAAUUCCUUUAAAUGUUUAUGGGAAUCUUUACAUGCAAGGCUAUGGAAAGUAGGCAAAAGAUGUAUUAGUCCAUAUUUAGAUUCAAAUGUAGUAGUAUCAUCUAGACCGGGGAAAGUUAUGCAUAAGAGUUGUUGAUGCAAAUCCGGAGCUGCAAACUCUUUCAAAGUUCGAGUCCCAGCCAUGACUUCCCAUUUCUCUCACUCGGAAUCACUGGCAAAUAGGGGAUUAUGGAUAAGAUCGUAUUCUUCGAAAUUCCACCGAAUGUUACUCCUUUACUUGUGCAAAGUUCUCUCUACUUCUGGAUUGUACUGCAAAUCGCCUUGAUUAGAAGAUCGAUUUAUUGUCAUAAAUAGUCAAGAAAGCUCUAAAAGAAUGAAAAACAAAUUACGAAAAAACUAGAGUAAUAAAAAUGAACAACGAUUCUAUGCUAAAACACCGAAAAAGAUAAUAAAAUGCCUAAAAAUCCUAGAAAACGAUGGAAUUUGGCUCCGAGAGGGGUUUUUAGGUGCUUACAAUUCGAAAUUAAUGCAAAGCCAUGCAAACUAAUGGAGGUACAUAGAAAAAUUGUCUUAUGCUGAAUGCUUUGGAGAAAAAACUAGCACAAAUUAUCCAAAGAUUCUAUCAAAUAAUCCACUCAAAGACAUCAUUAUUUGAGCAGUCGUUUGGUAAAGUGGAUUCGAUAUUAUUCAAUUUUAAGCUAAAAUUAAGUAAAAUUUAUAUUCCCUAAAUGGAAUUAAAUAAAAAUUCAGAAAUUUGAAUAUUCACCUUCCUUUUAUGGAUAUUAGGAACCAAUGUUGAAUAGUGUUGGACUGUAUUGUCACAUAUAUUCAACAGAAAAUAAGAAAAAUUCUUAAUUAAGAUUCUAUGAGCCAUUUUUUUUUAAUCAUAAACCUAGGAAAUACAUUAAUUUAAUUUUUGAAAUAUUGAAGCCAUAUCCGUUAUUAAGGAGUUUCAACUGUUUAAGAAUAAUUACAUAAUAUAUGUUACAAAGUUUUAUGUUGAUGGUCAACUUAGAGCAAUCCUCCUCUUUUUCUCGAGUUCAUGACUAACUAGAAAACUAUCAGGGUCGUUUAGAGGUUAAGUUGUUUAAGAAAAGUGUACUAUUAAAAACAUUUCUAUGGUGAGAAAAGAAAUUGCAUGCAGUUGCCUCAAAAUUUUAUAUAAAAAUUUUAUUUUUUUGUUUCACAACCUUUUUUAUUGAGGAAAAUUUGUUGUAACCUGAAUUUGAUGCACUUUCAUGUUUUAAGUGACUAAGAGUCUAGUUUGGUACAAUUUUUGCUUUAACUUCUUGUAGAAAAGCUUUUUUAGCAAGUUGCUUUAGAAGAGCUUCCACACAAAACAUUUUCACUGAAUUAUUCAAAUAUAUACAAUUCAAAUAUAUACAAAAGCAGUUUUUUAUUUUUUAGAGAGCGAAGAGCAACUCGCAAAUGUUAGAUAUUUUUCAUUAUUUUGCAUGUAUUUAUUUUUGUUUUGCAAAUGAUUUUUCGCCCCGACUAGUAUUUGCCGCUGCGCAACGGGGAUCGACCUCCAGUAGAUGCAUCUGUUCGUUUUUUUAACAGUCACCUCCAGUAGAUGUAUACAAAGAUUUCAAGGGACACACCUAUUCAAACGGUUGCCUCAAUUUCUAUAAAUUCCGGGCGAAUUCUCGUUUGCAAAACACAUUAAAAAAAUUUAUUCUUCUUUCUUUUCUUGAUAUCAAUCAGUUAUUUUCAAGUGUCUUCUUGGUUUGAUCAAAUAGUCAGAAUUUGAAUCAAACGUCUCCAUUGUAUCCCGAGAGAGAUUUUCUAUCAUACCCCAGUUGUGACUUUGUUGAAUAGGGAAGAAACAUCUCUUAAAAGAUAACGUUUUUUCGUGCCUUGGAGUUCAUUAAGUAUUCAGAUUUCCCUAUAUUUUUAUCAACAACAAACUGUGUUGUAUUCUGUUGAAAAGGAUCCUGGGAAAUCAGAGUGAGGAGCCUUGGGCAUGGUCAUACGUGGAGGAAAUUCGCAUAUUGCCUAUGAUGGAAAUCCAUUCGUGUUACUCGACACGAUGAAUCUGAGUCGAGUAUUCGUGGACAUCAAAUCACGAGUGCAGUGGAAGGUGGUAUAACACUUGAACAGACAUAAUAUUCCAUUUCUAAAUCAAGUACCGGCAAGGUCUUGCUCGACUGUGGGGAUUUGUGGUUAAAUUUCUGGGGGUGGAUUUGGCUUUUUAUGUAGAAAAUAUGGCCUUGCUGCAGACAAUGUUGUGGUUGCAUUUCUUGUAAAUUGAAAGAUCGAGAAGCAAUGGAAGUAUUUCUUGAAAAAUUAUGACAGGUUGGUUAAAGCCAAGACACUGAUAGAUCCACCGAAUGUUUUCAAGCAUGAGCAAGGUAUUUUUCCAGUGCCUGCAGAUGAUGGCAGAUCAAACAUUUGAAGAAUGAGGUACAUGAAAAAGAUUUAUGUAAUCGACUACAAAUAUAUCGUAAAUAAAGUUUAACUUCUUGUUGGUUCUUAUCCCCGGAAAAUAAUUUAUAAAAAACCCAAGCGUGUUUGACAAAAAAAGUUACUUAUAAGUAACUUAACAUUUGAUCACGUAAUCACUUAGGAAUACUGUUUGGUCGAUAACAUUCCUGUGAUCUUCAAUCUUCGUGUCAACUAUAGAACUCAUGGAUGUAACUUUUACGAAGGCACCUUUUACUGUUUAAAUUCUCUUUAAAAAGUUGUGUAACACAAAUUUCAUAAUUGUUUAGGCAAGGGAUCAGAUUCAGCGUAGACUAAACAUUUUAAUGAUUAGUCUGUAUAAUAUGGAAUGUUAGAUAUGAAUUGUUUUUGGUUAGUUCAGUUAAUAAUUGCCACUUCUAAUAGAAUCUUAUUCCAUUCAAUAAAGUAACCAGAACUAGAUUUAGGAUGAAUUAAUUCUUUUAAAAUUUUUCUUUAACACGCACUUAUGUCAAAGGAAAAUUCAUUUCAUCAUCAAAUGCCUAAUUGACGUGAAGUAAUUUUAAAGUAGUUUAGGUGAAAAUUGGUUAUGAGAUCUUUUCUAAUUUUUCUUCAAUAUCUAUGAACAAAUAACCAUAUAUUUCCCAGGUAGAGGAACUGUGAAUGCUUUGGAAAGAAAGCAUGAUGCAGUUUAUGCUUUAGAAUCUUAAUUAUUUGGAGAGAAGAUAAGGGUGCAAUUUUUUUUUUGGAUAUACAAUAAUAUUCCAAUGCUUGUGCCAAUAUUAAAGGUUUUACUCAUUUUUCUGUUCUUUAAAUUUGUAGGUUAAUAGAUCAAGAUAUGUUAGAGAUGAAGCCCUAAUUUUUUCUUACAAAGUAAUAUUAUGCACAAUGAACAUGAAAAAACAACUGAAUCCAAAAAAAGAAGGAAAAAGAAAAAAAGGAAAAAAAAAAAAAAACUAUAUGUUCACUCUCAUUAUGAGAUUCGUGUUCACUAGCUAAGUUGAGUUUUCGAUACAAAAUUUUUCCAUGCAUCUCGCACCCUCAAAACAAGCUCCCUGAAAAUAUUAGGGUAACUUUAUACGCAUUUUAUUAGAUUCCAUGCUAUGCAACAAGAGACUAGAAUGAUAAGAAUUGAAUAAGCUUAACAAGAAAUUUUUUAGACAAAACCUCUUCCCGCAGCCCAAGUGAGUGAAAAAUAGAAUAGAAGGAAAUAAAAGAUUGACUGCAAUGUCCAACAACAUAUGAACAAUUUUCUGAAAUUUUUGAGCUUAUUACAUCCGAUCAUUUGCUGUUAAUUCUAUCGUGUAUUAAUCCUAGUUUAUUGUGGAAGUUAUUCUGUUAGGUAAAUUGAAUCCAACAAAAAUUUUGAAGGAUAAAGCAAAUAUGAAGGAUAAAAGCAAACUGAGUUACGUUAUUUUUUAGUGCUUUUCUCUUAUAAUAUUAAUCUCAAAAUUAUUGAUUGCGAAAGUGCCCAGUACACAUCUGAAAGGAAUAUCACAUGAUAGGAAUUCACAGGCCAAUAUGUUUUUAGAUUUUUUUUUUAGCUACUUUUCCUCCCACUAGACAUGGAGCUAUCAAUAUAAAGGGCUGUCACUUGUAUCAAAUGCAUCAAGCACAACACAAAACAUUUCCUUGUAACUCUUUCACAUAUUCGUUUCUUCUACCUUAAAAAAUGUCGUCCAAGGCAGAUCUUGAAAAAAUAGGAAAGGAAGGUUUCGCCAUACUCGAUGCAUAUUAUGAAAAAAGCAUGAGGCGUAAUCCACCAAAACCAAAUUCACAAGAAACAAAACCAAAUUCACAACAAACAAAACCAAAUUCACAAGAAACUAGAAGGUCCUGUUUUUACCAAUACCUAACAUGCUCUUGUUUAUCAGGCAAAACCAGAAGAGAAUAUUAAUUGGUAUGAGGUGUUGCAGUUUAACGAAGGUCUAAUGGUCAAGGAUUAUAGGAGGAAAUCUCAAGCUAUGGCUUAGACUCUCUCUUAUGCACUGUGUUUUAUAUGUAAUAGGAUAUAUAUAGGCACAGAUAAGUAUGCUCCUUUUGUAUGACACAAAAGUGUCAGUUGUAUGAAUACUAGUCAUCUGGAAGUUUUUAAAGGUAUGGAUGAAGUCUGUAACACUUUUUUAUAUGUAUUGAAGCGAUAUCAGAUGUAGUAAUAUCGCUUUUUUAUUAUUAUUAGUCUAAAAUUUAUGGAAUUGAAAAGUUCUCUGAAAGAAGCCUCACAAGAACAUAGGUCACUUCGUUCAGAUUUUUCUUAGCUACUUUUUCCUCCCAUCAUGCAUUCAGAUAUAUAAAGGGUUUCACUUUGUAUCAAAUGCAUCAUGAACAACACAAAACAUUUCCUUAACUUCUUCAUACUUCUUUCUUGUAAAAAAAUGUCAUACAAGGCAGAUCUUGCAAGAAUAGGAAAUGAAGCCUUCGACUUACACGAAGACCGAAGCAUAUCCCAGAAAAAAGAUGGCGACUAAUUCACAAGAACCUAAACUGCAUGUCUUUACCACUACCAAUCACAACAGGCUCGUGUUUAUCAAGUAAAAUAAGAUGAGAUUGAUAUGAGGUGUUGCAGUUUCGCAAAGGGUGAUGUUUAAGGAUUAUAUGAGGAAAUCUCAAUCUAUGGCUUAUUACUAUCUUGCACUGUGUUUAUAUAUAUAUAUAUAUAUAUAUAUAUAUAUAUGCUCUCUUGGUAUGACAAAAGUGGAGUAACUUGUGUAUGUACUAGUCACCUGGCAAUUUUAAGGGUUUUAAUUUUUAGCCCCUAUUUGGCUCAAAUUUUAAUCAAACAAUCAAUAUUAAUCACAUCUUUUAUGUGCCCCUCAAUUUUUCAACCACAUAUUUCAAAAAUUUCUAUCAAAAUCUACGAAGUACUUGUUUGGUACAGAUUUUAAGUCAACUAAAAUCAAUUUUUUGAUCGUUAUUUCAUUAUUUCAGCCGUUAUUUUUGAAUUUUUCUCUCACAGAUAAGACCCAUUUUAUCUCUAACGAUCAAAAAAUUAAUUAUCAAAAUCUCUACCAGACAAGCAUUAAAAAUCUAAUUUUAAUCCAACCACCAUCUUAAUACCAUAAUUAAAAAAAAAAAAAAAAAAAAAAAAAAGAGUCAAAAUCUAAAUUUAAGUCAAAAUGCCAAGCUUAAAAAAAAAAAAAAAAAAAUGGAGAACAAAGAAAGUUAAAAGGGCAAGGUUAGGCAGGGUCUGUACAAGCUAUACACAAUACUAGGGGGUGGGGUAAUUUUUAUUUUUUUUUUAAAUAAUCAUCCACCCCCCAUGUUAUACAGCAGGCAAUUUCCAGGUUAAAAAGUUAGGCGUAGACACAUGGGACCUCUUUAAACAUUUGAUAUAUCCAAAUCUAAAUUGAAUUCAAAAGCCAUUACAUACAUACAUACAUACAUACAUACGUACACAAAACAUAUACAGAGAGAAGCCGAGAAUGGAGAGAGAAAAGAGGAAAGAAAGAAGAAAGAGGAAAGAAAGAAGAGGAGGUAAAUAAAACAAAAAGAAAUAGGAAGUUGCCAACGUGAUUAGAAAAUAAGUGUUUUCUACUAUUAAACUUAAAUUCCUCACUUUGACAAGUAAAAUAUUACUUAUUCAGAAGUUAUGUUAAAUUUUAGAUUUAUUAGAUUAUUAGUUUAAAUUCAAUUUUAUUAAAGGAAGCUGUUGGAUUAAGUAUAAUAAGCGACGAAAUUAAGUUAAAGGGAAGAAAAAAUAGCUUCAAUAAUGAAAGAAAUUGGGAAAAUUGCUUAAGUAUAAAAAGAUUAAGAUUUAAUAUCGCGUAAUUAAUUAUUAUAGUUACUUGAAAUGGUUAAUUGUUAAUCUAAGGUCUCGUUUGGUACCCAUUUUUUUCAACCACACAUUAUUUAUUAAAAUAAUAUUACACAUAAAUAAAAAAAAAUUUCUUUAUUUUUCAACCACACAUUUUCUAUCAAUUUACUAUUAUAAAAUGUAUUUUUACAUAAAAAUGGCUCUCAAAUAGGGCUGGACAAUUCUCCCGAACCGAACCGACCGAACCAAACUCGACAGUUCUUGUCAAAUUAAAUACUCAAACAGGUAUCUAAAUUGAGAAUCGACGGGUACGGUUCGGUUCUCGGUUCUAGAUCAAGAACCAAAGAAUCGAAUAAGAACCGAAUCUUUCUAAUUUUUUUAUAUUGAAUAAAUCAAAUUAUUUUAAUUUUAAUUUUUUAAACAAAUUAACAAUUUCUAAAUUCAAAAUUUUGACCCAAUUAUCCAUUUUAUUGUUUCAUUUCUUAACCCAAUAAAGAUCCAACCCACUAAAUAACCCUAAAUACCUAUACUAAAGUAUAUAACGCUGUCUCGACUCUCGCACUCAGUCUCGCAGCCUCACUCACAUUCCAAAAUCUAUACAACCGCCGACUGACAUGUGACCUCCAAUCGAAGCUGUGACCUCCGCCGAUCGAAACUUUGACCAAAGUGAUUGUUUGAACAAUGUAGUCUACUGGUCUCUGACAUUCCAAAACCAUUGAAUGUGUCAUUAGUUGUAUUUAUGUAAUGUUAUUAUAAAUGUUAAAAAAUUUAAUUAUAAUACGGAACCGAACCCGAACGGUUCCAUAAUUAUAUUUGAAUCCGACGGUUCCAUUUACUUGAUACCCGAAAAUUUUGGUUCGGUUCGGAUAUCUUUAGAACUGAACCUGAACCGACCUGUGCCCACCUCUACUCUCAAACACCCCCUAAAUACUAUAUCAUAUUUCAAGCGGCAAUAUGGGUAAUUGGACAGCUUACCAACCUAGUAGAUUUUGAGUACAUAAUUCGAUGAGUGGAAAAACAUAAAUAUUUUCAAUGGUUGCUAAUUUAAUUUUACUAUUAUAUUAUGUGCAAUUAUGUACAAUUAUAUGUUGGAUUACAUAAAGUUUCUUUUAUUAUGAUACAUAAGGAAUUUAAAGAUUGUAUAUGAUACAUUUGUGAAUUGGAAUAUAAGACAUAAUGUGAUAUUGAGAUCGAUCAAAAAAGUACAUUGAUUAAACUUUCAAAGUAUGCUCAAAUUCUAGUUAGCAAUGAAAUUGACAAAUGCCCGACCGUGGGGAUUUGUGGACAAAUUUCUGGGGCGGAUUUGGCUUUUUAUGUAGAAAAUAUGGCCUUGCUGCAAUCAAUGUUGUGGAUGCAUUUCUUGUGUAAAUUGAAAGAUCGAGAAGCAAUGGAAGUAUUUCUUGUAACGGAUUGGUUAAAGCCAAGUCACUGAUGGAUCCACUGAAUAUUUUUAAGCACAAGCAAGGUAUUUUUCCAAUGCCUCCAGAUGAUGGCAGAUCAAAUUUGAAGAAUGAGGCAUAUGCAAAAGAUUUAUGUAAUCCACUAAAAAUUUAUCGUAAGUAAAGUUUAACUUCUUGUUGGUUCGUAACCCCUGAAAGUAACUUUUUAAAAUUCCAGUGUGUUCGACAAAAAACGUUACAGAAAAGUAACUUUACAUUUAAUCAUGUACUCACUUUCUUAAAUACUGUUUGGUCAAUGAUAUUGUUGUGAUCUUCAAAUCUUCGUGUCAACUUUAGAACUAAUGGAUGUAACUUUUACUAGGGCACCUUUUAGUGUUUAAAUUUUCUUUAACAAGCAGUUUAACAAGAGUUUCAUAAUGGUUUAGGUAAGGGAUCAGAUUCAGAUUAGACUAAACAUUUUAAUGAUUAGUGUGCAUAAUAUGGAAUAUUAGAUAUGAAUUUUUUUUGGUUAGUUCAGUUAAUAAUUGUCACUUCUAAUAGAAUCAUAUUCCAUUGAAUAAAUAAAGGGUUCUCAUGCCCCUCAUAGGGUAGUUGAGUUGGUGGAGUAGGUGAGCGCGGAGUCCUUUAAUCACGAGUUCGAUUCUGCCUACCAGCACUUUUUCAGUCGAGCUUGUCGUACCAGACUUAUAGCAGCAGUGGGAUGGCAAUAACUAAAACUUCAAUACCUAAUGCGGUUUACCUGGUUAGCGUAGUUUGCAGGUUAUUAUGUCAAUUCAAGAGUUUACCCAGUGCGCACCCGAAGGGUAGUGAUUGCGGUUUCCCCAUCAUAGAAAAAAUAAAUAAAUAAAGGGUUCUCAUACUAUGUUGACACGCAAAGUAACUAGAACUAUAUUUAGGAUGGCUUCAGUAGGGAUGAAAUGAAUUAAUUCCUUCAAAAUUUUCUUUAACGCGUCACUCAUGUCAAUGGAAAAUUCAUUUUAAUCAUGAAAUGCCCUCAUUGACGUGAAAUAAUUUUAAAGUAGUGUAGGUGAAACUUGGUUACGAGAUCUUUUCUAAUCUUUCUUCAAUAUCUAUGAACAAAUAACCAUAUAUUUGCCAGGUAGAGGAACUGAGAAUGCUUUGGAAAGAAAGCAUGACGCAGUAUAUGCUUUAGAAUCUUAAUUAUUUGGAGAGAAGAUAAGGGUUCAAUUUUUUUGGAUAUACAAUAAUAUUUCAAUGCUCGUACCAAUGUUAACGGUAUUACUCAUUUUUCUGUUCUUUAAAUUCGUAAGUUAAUAGAUCAAGAUAUGUUAUAGAUUAAGUCCUAAUUUCUUCCUACAAAGUAAUAUUAUGGACAAUGAACAUGAAAAAACAACUGAAUCCAAAAAAAAAAAAAAAUUAUAUGUUCAUUCUCAUUAUGAGAGUCAUGUUCGCUAGCUGAGUUUUCGAUACAAAAUUUUUCCGAUGCUUCUCCUACUCUCAAAACCAGCUCCCUGAAAAUAUUACGGUAAGUUUAUACACAUUUUAUUAGAUUCCGUGCUAUGAACAAGAGAAAGCUUCCCUCAGCCGAAGUGAGUGAAAAAUAGAAUAGAAGGAAAUAAAAGAUUGAUUGCAAUGUCCAACAAUAUAUGAACAAUUUUCUGAAAUUUUUGAGCUUAUUGCAUCUGAUCAUUUGCUGUUAAUGCUAUCAUGUAGUAAUCCUAGUUUGUUGUUGAAGUUAUCCUAUUAGGUAAAUCGAAUCCGUCAAAUGUUUUGAAGGAUAAAGCAAACAGAGUAACGCUAUUUUCUAGUGCUUUUCUCUAAGAAUAUUAAUCUCGAAAUUAUUGACUGCGAAAGUGCCAAACACACAUCUCUGAGAGGAAUCUCACAAGAUAGGAAUCCACAGGCCACUAUUUUUUUAAAUUUUUAUUUGCUAGCUUGUCCUCCCACUUGACAUUGAGCUUUCUAUAUAAAGGGCUGUCACUUGUAUCAAGUGCAUCAAGAACAACACAAAACAUUUCCCUGUAGCUCCUUCACUUACUCAUUUCUUCUACCUUAAAAAAUGUCGUCCAAGGCAGAUCUUGCAAGAAUAGGAAAGGAAGGCUUCGCCAUACUUGAUGCAUAUUAUGGAAGAAACAAGAGGCCUAAUCCACCAAAACCUUAUUCACAAGAAACUAGGAGGUCCUUUUUUCACCAAUACCAACCACAACAGGCUCUUGUUUAUCAGGUAAAACCAGAUGAGAAUAUUAAUUGCUAUGAGGUGUUGCAGUUUAAUGAAGAUGGAAUGGUCAAGGAUAAUAGGAGGAAAUCUUAAGCUAUGGCUUAGACUCUCUUUUGCACUGUGUUUUAUAUGUAAUACGAUGUAUAUAGGCACAGAUAAGUAUGCUCCCUUUAUAUGACACAAAAGUGGAGCCAGUUGUAUAAAUACUAGUCUUCUGGAAGUUUUAAGGGUAUGGAUGAAAGUUUGUAACACUUUGUUAUAUGUAUUGAAGUGAUAUUAGAUGUAGUAAUAUUACAUUUUCUAUUAUAAUUAGUCUAAAAUUUAUGGAUUUGAAAAGUUCUCUAAAAGGAGCCUCACAAGAACAUAGGC